CACGUGGGAACAUGCCUAUCGGUAAAGAACAACCAUUGGAAACGAUGGCUAAUACUUUAUACGCCCCUUGGGGGAAAGAUUUAUCGCCGAUAGAUUGGCCCGCGGUAGAUUAGCUAGUUGGUGAGGUAAAAGCUCACCAAGGCUACGAUCUAUAUCUGGUUUGAGAGGAUGAUCAGACACACUGGGACUGAGACACGGCCCAGACUCCUACGGGAGGCAGCAGUGGGGAAUAUUGGACAAUGGGGGAAACCCUGAUCCAGCGAUGCCGCGUGAGUGAUGAAGGCCUUAGGGUUGUAAAAC
rnacentral:rRNA from 1 species